rnacentral:rRNA from 1 species
UACGGGAGGCAGCAGUAGGGAAUAUUGCUCAAUGGGGGAAACCCCUGAAGCAGCAACGCCGCGUGGAGGAUGACACUUUUCGGAGCGUAAACUCCUUUUGUUAGGGAAGAACAAUGACGGUACCUAACGAAUAAGCACCGGCUAACUCCGUGCCAGCAGCCGCGGUAAU